ACCUGCCUGUAAGACUGGGAUAACUCCGGGAAACCGGGGCUAAUACCGGAUGGUUGUCUGAACCGCAUGGUUCAGACAUAAAAGGUGGCUUCGGCUACCACUUACAGAUGGACCCGCGGCGCAUUAGCUAGUUGGUGAGGUAACGGCUCACCAAGGCGACGAUGCGUAGCCGACCUGAGAGGGUGAUCGGCCACACUGGGACUGAGACACGGCCCAGACUCCUACGGGAGGCAGCAGUAGGGAAUCUUCCGCAAUGGACGAAAGUCUGACGGAGCAACGCCGCGUGAGUGAUGAAGGUUUUCGGAUCGUAAAGCUCUGUUGUUAGGGAAGAACAAGUGCCGUUCAAAUAGGGCGGCACCUUGACGGUACCUAACCAGAAAGCCACGGCUAACUACGUGCCAGCAGCCGCGGUAAUACGUAGGUGGCAAGCGUUGUCCGGAAUUAUUGGGCGUAAAGGGCUCGCAGGCGGUUUCUUAAGUCUGAUGUGAAAGCCCCCGGCUCAACCGGGGAGGGUCAUUGGAAACUGGGGAACUUGAGUGCAGAAGAGGAGAGUGGAAUUCCACGUGUAGCGGUGAAAUGCGUAGAGAUGUGGAGGAACACCAGUGGCGAAGGCGACUCUCUGGUCUGUAACUGACGCUGAGGAGC
rnacentral:rRNA from 1 species